rnacentral:rRNA from 1 species
AUUGAACGCUGGCGGCAUGCCUUACACAUGCAAGUCGAACGGUAACAGGUUAAGCUGACGAGUGGCGAACGGGGGAGUAAUGUAUCGGAACGUGCCCAGUCGUGGGGGAUAACUGCGCGAAAGAGCAGCUAAUACCGCAUACGACCUGAGGGGGAAAGCGGGGGAUCGCAAGACCUCGCGCGAUUGGAGCGGCCGAGAUCAGAUUAGGUAGUUGGUGAGGUAAAGGCUCACCAAGCCGACUAUCUGUAGCUGGUCUGUGAGGAGGACGAGCCACACUGGGAGUGGGACACGGCCCAGACUCCUACGGGACGCCGCAGUGGCGAAUUUGAGGCAAUGGGGGCAAGCAUGACCCAGCCAUGCCGCGUGCGAGGAGAAGGCCUUCGGGUUGUAAACCGCUUUUGUCAGUGAAGAACAGGUUCUGGCUAAUACCUGGGACUCGUGACGGUACCUGAUAAAUAAGCACCGGCUAACUACGUG